rnacentral:lncRNA from 1 species
UCGCAUCGAGCGCAUCCGCUCCACCAGCGGUGUCGUCUCGUCCGCUCUGUCGCCGGGUCCUCCCCCCUUGUACUUCCCGGGGCCCUUCCCGGUCGCGAUGAUCCCUUGGCCUCUGCUGAGGGUCGUUCCAUACGAGCGAACGUCGGGGUGGAGUUCAUAGGCGUCAGAUGGAGUUCAAAGGCAUCGAGGUCGGGGAUUGAAAGCGAGGGGUGGGCGGAGAGAUGCGCCGGGAAAAGUCCUUAAGGAACGGCGUUCACCACGCCGACGCGGUCGUAUGGGGACCAGUGUAUAGAACGCACCUGAGGUCGUAAUACAGGUUCAUGACGAAGAUGACAACCUCCAACCCGUGCCCGACGAGCGGCGGCAGCCACGUCGAUAUGUCCUCGCCUGGGUGGAGUUGAAAGGCGUCAGAAGCGGAGUUGAAAGGCGUCGAGGUGUGUCGGGAUCGAAAGCGAGGGACCCUGGGCGGAGAGGAACGACGGCAAAAGUCCUCAAGGAACGGCGUUCACCGCGCGAACGCGGUCGUAUGGGAACCAGUGUAUAGAACGCGCCCAGGACGAGCUUCUGUAUCGUCGCGCCCAGCCCGCCGCCGAUGCACAGAAAAAACCGCACGUACGACAAGCUCCCGCUGCCCUUGUUUACGUACGAGCUGUACACCUGCGGCAGGUACCGCGUCGCCUCGAGAACGCCGUUGACCACGCCUAGCGUCAUCGCGUACGUCUCAGGGUCGUUUGAUUGGUGGGUGAUGUGGCGGGAAGUGAUGUGAUUGGUUAGUUAUUUGAUGACGUGGAUGUUUGAUUGGACGAGAGCGACGGAGAGACACGCCGGGCGAAGUCCUUAAGGAUCGGCGUUCACCACGCCAGCGCGGUCGUAUGGGAACCAGUGUGAGAAGAACGCACCUCGUACUCGUAGCAGUUCCCGCGUAACACCAUGCCGACGACUGGCGCCGCGAGUCCGACGCACGGGAUCACGUGCGCCCAAAACCCGAUCCUCGCGUUCUGCCUCCGCGUCCGCGUCGCGCCGCAAACCUCCUCGGUCUCCUCGUCCGAGCAGUACCUCGCCGCGAGCGUGUACACGGGGAACCACAGGAUCGUCCACGUCGCGGUGUAGUAAAACGUGAGCAGCGACGUGUUGCAGUCGUCGAAUCCCAUGUCCCCGCGGACGCACUGCUUGAUCUGCUCGUAGUGCAGGAUGAAGAUGUUCAGCGUCGCGGUCACCGCGGAGACGUUCAGAAGCGCGAGCGCGGUGAGCGAGUUCCCCUUGUCCGUGGCGAGGACGAUCAGCUUGAUAUACUGCGGGAUCGCUCCCGCGACGAUGGCGAGGAUCGCGAGGAUGGUGAGAACCUCCGCGCCUCUCCACGCGUCGUGGGUUUCGACGAAGCAGUGCGUGUCGUCCGCGCUCGGCGGCGGCGGCGGCGGGUACGCGCUCGCCCCGAGCGACGCGCCAUACGCGUACGACGGCGCCGGGGACUGCCCCAGCGCGGACGUCGCGGUUGCGGCGGCGGCGACGUCGCCGCCGUAGUAGAGCGAUUCUAAAAAGUUCGCGUGCACCAUUCUCGAAUUAUUCGGUCGCUCGCGCGCCGCUCGAUCGAGCCCUCGCCUCGACGCCGCCUCCCGCGCGCCUUCGCGAGCGGCCUCGCUUUCGACGCGCGACGACGGACGCGGAGCGCGCCGGUGACGCGUGCGACGCGUCGGGCGAGCGCGCGCCGUCGAGUGACGAGAUGUCGACGGGCGCGUUCGACCUGAUGAGAGGACGCUGUUCGUCCUUCCUUGGUCCAGGCCGCGCCGCGCCGCGCCGCGCGCUCGUCGCGCGAAGCGACGAGCGCGCGCGCGACCACCGCUGACGCGACUAACAACGCGCACAGACUCCCCGCGCCCCGUCCCCCCCGCGCGCGCAUGCGCCCGCAUCACGCCGCGAAACUCGUCCGCGCGGCGACGUCGUUGUCGUCCUCCUCGCGCGGGUUGCGCGCGCGUCUCCACCCGCCGCGCCUCGCGUCGUCGUCGUCGUCGUCGUCGCCGCGAUCGCGAACGCCGUCCGUCUCGACGACGACGCGAGCCGUCAUGGGCUCCAGCUCGAGGUUCGCGGACGCGUGGGGGCGGUCGCGUCCGAACCCCGCGGUCGAGGCUGAGCUCCGCGAGAAGAAGAAGGCGACGAGGAAGGAGGUGAAAGAAGCGCUCCGAGAAAUGAGCGCGGAGCGCCGCGCGGAGGACGGCGCCGCGAUCGCGUCGCGGCUGCUCGCGACGCUGCCGUGCUUCCGCGUCGGCGCGAGCGACGACGAGCGCGAGGACAAGCGCUUCGCGCUGUACGUGCCGUGCGAGAAGCUGAUGGAGGUGGACGCCACGCCGAUCAUCGACGCCGCGCUGAGGUUGCCGUACUCGCGCGUGUACGUCCCGGUCGUGGACGGCGCGGCGAACGCGGAGGACGACACGCCGCCGCGCAUGCGCUUCCUCCGCGUGACCGAUCGCGCGAAAGAUCUCGUCGCGAAGGAGCUCUUCAAGGGGGUGGAGAUCUUGGAGCCGACGGAGACGACGGCGGACGGCGCGCCGCGCGAGGACGUCAUGCACGACGACGACGAGGACGUCCCUCUGGAUUAUAUCGUCGUCCCGGGGAUGGCGUUCACGCCGAACGGCGACCGGUUGGGGCGCGGCGGCGGCUUCUACGACGCGUUCCUGACCGCGUACGACAGGCGAUGCAAAGAGAAGCAGUGGACGACGCCGACGCUGAUCGGGCUGUCGUUUACCGAGCAGAUCUUGUUGCAAGGGACGCUGCCGGUGGGUGCGCGGGACGUCGGAAUGGACGUGAUCUUCACGCCGAACAGCACGGCGACGUGCACGUCGAAGGGGAUACGGCUCGUCACGAGUUUCAAGGACCCGGAGUGAUGAGCGUACGGUAGCGAGUGCGUACGAGUAGAAGAGGAAGAAGUUUGAUGAAAGUUUAUUUUCCUUCCAGUCCCGAGUUGAACAAACGACGGCGUCGCCGCCGCGCGUGAUGAAAAGAGAAACGCCCCACCCACCCACAACACCCACAACACCCACCCACCCCCGCACUGCGCACCGCACCGCGCACGUCACGUCACCUAACGGAUUCGGUUCGAAUCGAAUCACUUACGCGCCUUGGCCAACGCGCUCAGCAGCGCGCGAACCGCCGCGAUCGCGAGGCCGAAGAGCGCAAACUUUUCGCGCCGCUUCGCCGCGCACUUCUCGCGGUUCGCCGCCGCCAACGCCGCGUCCGCCGCCUUCAGCGCGCUCUCGAGGCUCUCCGUCCGCAUCUCGAGCCCGGUCACCUCGACGCACAUCGCGUCCGCGCGCGCGGCGGCGUCGCUGGCGUCCGCCUUGAGCGACCGCGACACCGACCCGGAGAUUUCCUUCAUGCGUCGGAGAUCGUUCGACCUCCUCGCCAACUCCGCGUUGGCCGCGUUCACCGUCGCCCUCGCGGCGACGAGCUCCGCCGCGAGCUCCGCGACGUGCGCGUCCGCCUUGGCGACGACGCGCGCGAGCUCCUUCUCGUGACGCUUCGCGUCCUGCUCGCGAAGCGUCGCGUUCGCGGCGUUCGCGGUCGUCAGCGCCGCGUUCGCCGCGGCGAGCGCGGACUCGAGCUUCGCCGCCGCCGCGCGCUGCGUCGCCGCCUCGUGCUCCGACGCCGCGUGUUUGGCCAUCGUCUGCGCGAGUCGUUUGUCCGCUACGGCAACCUUCGCGGUCGCGGCGUCCUCCGCGGCUUUCACCGCCUUGGCCGCGCGCGACGCCGCGGCAGCCAUCUCUCUCUCCGCGGCGCACGCGCGCUUCUCCGCGGCGGCGGCGGCGGCGGCGGCGGCCGCGCUCGCCUUGGCGCUCCGCGCCGCGUUCUUCUUCGCGUCGGCGAUCUCGCGCUUCGCCGCGGCGGUCUCCUCCUUCGCGGCGGCCUUCGCCGCGAGCGCGUCCGCGGUCGCCGCCUUGGCGCGAUCGUUCGCGCGCGCCGCCUCUUUCGCCGCGGCGUCGCGCGUUUUCGUCGCAUCCGCGGCGGCGUCGCGUUCGGCUCUCGCGAGCGCCUUCGCCGCCGCCUCCGCCUUCUUCGCGCCGGCGAUCUCGCCGUGCAGCUUCGCCGUCGUCGCCUUGUGCUGCUCGUGCUUGUGCGUCGCCGCGAUCUUCGUCAUCUUGAGGACGUUCUCCAGCUUCUCCGUCUUCGCGGUCUCUUGCGCGUGCGCCUCCACCGCGGCUUCGAGGUCCAUUCGGUGAAUUUCCUCCGACUCGGCGAAGGCGUUGGUCAGCUUUACGCAUUCUUUUUCGAGCAUCUUGACGCGCUUGUCCUUCGCCGCGUUCGCCUCCGCGGCGGCGACGAGCGCGUCCGAGGCGGCGGUGAGGCCGGCGCAGGAGUCCUUCAGCUCGCACGCCGCGGCGUGGAGCUUCGCGUCGAGCGACUUGACGCUCUCCCUCGCGUCUUUCAGCGCCGCGGAUUCCUCGAGGAGCUCCUGGAGGGCAAUCUCCAAGCGGGAAGAUAACGCCUGUUUCUCUUGCGUUACCUUUUCCAGCACCCCCGCGGCUUCCUUCUUCUGCGACUCCAAGUUACCGUUCAUCGUGAGCUGCGCGGCGGCCGCUUUCGCUUCCGCGUCCGCCUCCGCGGCUUGGGCUUUCGCGACGGCGAUCUCCUUCUCCGCGAUUUUCUUCGCGGUUUGUUUUUCAAUCCUCGCGAGCUCCGCGUGCUUCUCCGCAACCUGCGCCUUCAGCGCCUCCGCGUUCGCCGCGUGCGCCUUAACGCUCGCCUCCGCGUCUUCCUUUGCCUUCUCCAUCUGCGCGCGCGCGAGCUCCGCGCGGCCAAACUCCGCGCGCGCGCGUCGCGCCUCGCUGAUGAGCCGGCGGUUCAGCUCUUGCAAAUUCGCGCGUUGCUCCUCGACGCGUUCGCGAUCGGCGGCGAGCUCGGAGUGCCGCUUCAGCGCCGCGGCCGCGUCGCUCGCCGCCUUCGCCGUCUCCGCCUUGGCCUCCCUGAGCUUGUUCAGCACGUUCACGUUGAGCGCUUUGAGCGAGUCGCGUUGAUGCUCCGCGUCCGACAGUCUGGCCGCGGCGUCCACGGCGUGCGCCGCGUGCGCCUCCGACGCCUCCUUCAUAAACUGCAGCUCGCUCAGCGCCUGCGCGUUCGCCGCGAGGAGCUCCGCUCGGGCGUGGAUGACGCUCUUCAGCAUCUCGUGCGCCGAGGCUGCCGCCUUCGCGGAGCCUUCGCUGCUGUUCUUCGCGUCGUUGGCCUCCGCGCGCGCCUUUUUUAACUCUGCGAGAAGUUUCGCGUUGAGCGCCUUGAGUUGGUCACCCGCGUCCGCGACGCCGACCGAGUCCGCCUGCGCCUGCUUCAGCGUCCUCACGAGCUUCGCGUUCACCUCGCGCAGCAUCUCGUUCUCCUUAGCGGCGGCGACUUUCGCCUCUUGCAUCGCCUUGGCGUGCUUUUUGAGAACGUUCGCCUCCGCGGCGGCGACGGCGGCGGCGGACGCCUUCUUCGCCGCGCGCAGCUCCGUCGUCAGCGACGCGUUCGUCGCCUGAAGCCCGUCGCGCUGCGACUCCGCGAGCUUCAUCGAUUCCGAGAGCGUCGCCCCCGCGGCGUUCAUCGACUCCAUCGCGUCUCGAGACUCCUUGAGUUCCGCGAGCGCGCGGUCGUUGAGCGACUUCAACGUCGCCGAGUCCCGGCGUUCCGCGUCGGCGGAGGCGCGAAGAUCCGCCGCGUGCGCGUUCGCCUUCGCCGCCGCCUCCUGCGCUUUCGCCGUCGCGGUGAGCGCGUCCGCGAUCUGAAACGCGUACUUCGUCUCCGCCUUCUGAAGCGCCUUGGCGAGCUCCUUGGACGACGCCUCGUUCGCGGCUCUGAGGGAAUCGAUCUCCGCCGCGGAGGACGACGCCUCGAGCUUCGCCGCCUUGAGGUGCGCGAUCAUCUUGCGGUUAAGCUCUCGGAGCGCGUCGUUCUGCGUCGUGAGCUUCUCCACGGACUCGCCGUUCUCGACGCUCGCGGACGCGUUCGCGGCGGCGGCGUCGGCGGCGUCCUUCGCGCUGACGCGCGCGUUCUUGAGCUCCGCGAGGAGGCGCUUGUUGAGGUCGCGGAGUUUGUCGUUCUCGUCCGCGACCUUGUCGAGGGACUUUUCGGCGGCCGAUGUCGACGAUUUCGACGAUUUCGUCGGCGUCGCGUGCGCGUUCUCGUCUUGAUACACGACGCUCUUGGACUUCUUCGAGAGCGCGGACUUCGCGACCGCGGAGGCGCCCAAGACGGACUUGCUGCGCGUCGAGAACGGCGAGAGCUUCGCGUCGUUCGAGCGGUCUUGAAGGGGGGAAGACGUCAUCGUCGUCGCCAUCGCGAUCGUCCUUCGUGUCGUGGUUUUUUUCGUCUCGGAAGAAGAUCUGCGACGCGUCGAUGCGUGCGACGGAGCGGAGUCAGCGGCGGGCGCGUGUAUUUACAGGUGCGCGGCGGUGCUCGACUCGAGAGCGAUGGCGUUGAGGGUAGUGCUGCGUGCGCGCGGCGCGGAAGGCGUCGUGCGGGUGCGGGGUGCGUGGAUAGCGUGCGCGUCUCGGAAUGUCACGAAAUUCCAGACUCGCGCGACCGAAAAGGCUCGUCCCCCCCCGAUUUUCGCGCGACAGCUCGUUUGAAAAAAAACCGACCGCCGUCGCUCGCGAGCGCCCUCCCGAAGCGCGACGACGGGCGACCGACGGCGAGACGACCGCCUCUCGCGAUGAUAAAUUAUCGUCAUUCAUGUGUACACCACGCCCGACUAUCCCUACGGUCCCUCUCGCGUCCCCCGCGGCGCGUCCUCACCGCGCCCAAAUCGCCGCGUCCGCGCCCGCGCCAGCCGUGCGCGAAUCGAAGUCGACGUCGUCCUCCAAGUCCGACGACUCGAUCGACGACGCGGUGUCCCACCCGCCAAAUCGCGCGACCCCGGGACCGAUGCCGCCGCCGGCACCGCUCGCGUCCAUCGUGAUGCGAUCCGGCGGGACGUACUUCAGGUCGUCGCCGCGGAGGAAGCGGCGACCAGCCGCCGCCGCCCCCUUCUCGCCGCCGCCGCCUUCGUCGCGGGAGGAAUCGCGCUUCUUCGCUUCCUCGCGCUUCGCGAGCUCGGCUUCCUUCUCCGCGGCGGCCGCGGCGCGCUUCACCGCGGCCGCGAUGAACGCCGCGGAGUCUUUCCGAGCCUUCUCCUUCUUCUCUUCGCCGACGGCGUCCGACGCCCUUCUCCGCGCCGCCGCCGCCGCCGCCGCCUCCGCCGUCCCCGCCGGCUUCGUCAACGGCGCCGGCACGGACGUAAACUUUGUCGUCGUCUCAACGUUCGCUUCGAGUGCGUUACCACCACCACCGCCGACGUUCGCAGGGAACAGCGGCACGCGGAGCGCGUCCGGAAGCUUCGCGGUGCCCACCCUCCACGUGAUCCCGGGCGAUCGCGGCGACGGCGGCGUCGCCGGGCUCGGCGGCGCGUCGCUUCGCAUCGCCCGCCGCCGCGCGAGCCGCGCGUCUUUCAAUCGGCGCACGGCCUCGUCUCUCGGCGUCCCGGGCGUCGCGGGCGUCGCGGGCGCCGCGCCGCCCGCCGUGCCGCCCGUGCCGCCCGGGAGCUGCGCGGUGAGCUCGUUCGACGCGAAGACGUCGGCGUCCGCGGAGUCGCCCAGGCGCGCGUCCUUCGCCUCCGCCGCGGUGUACGCCGGGAACGUCUCGUCGUCGAUGUUGGGCGAAUCAGGGGGCGCCACGUCGGAUUUCGCGGGCGACGCCGCGGAAUCGGAUCCGUUCUCCGACGCCUCCUCGGGCGAGCUCGCGUCCGCGUCCGCGGCGGCGCUCGAGUUGGAGUCGGAGCGCACCGCGUCGAGGUCCUCGCCGGAUUUUUUCACCGGCGACGGCGACGGCAGCGGCUCUUCGCUCGGCUCGACGUCCACGACAGGGGACUCGUCCCCGCGGUCCAGCACGGGCGCGCGGAGCGACGACGAGUCCGGCGGCACGCCCUCGACGACGAGCGGCGGUUCAGCUCCGGCGUCGCCUUCACUCCUGGGACCCCCCUCGUCGCCGUCGCCGUCGCCUGCUGAGGACCAUUCCAUACGAAGCGAUGUCGGGGUGGAGUUCAUAGGCGUCAGUUGGCGUUAAAAGGCGCCGAGGACGGGGAUUGAAAGCGGGGGGUGGGCGGAGAGAUGCGCCGGGCAAAGUCCUUAAGGAUCGGCGUUCACCACGCGAACGGGGUCGUAUGGGGACCAGUGUAUAGAACGCGCCUGAACGUGCGAUAAGCCCGGGUAAGUCCGACGUCGAAGCCAUCAACGGCGCGUCGUCCUCCUCGCCGCCGCCCUCGGACGACGCGAACGUCUCCCGCGACGUUCCCUCCUCGCACUCUCCCUCUCCCUCUCCCGAGGGACCCGCUCCGAGGAGUUCCGCGCGGCGUUGCCGCAGCCGCUUCGUCUCCGCGAGCAGAAGCCGCUCCGCCGCCGCCGCCGCCGCCGCGGCUUUCGUCGCCGCCUCCGCCGCCUCGGACGCGUUUCUCUGCGCCGCCUCCGCGGCCGCGAUCGCGGGCGCGGCCACCUUCGCGGCGGUGGAGACGAUCAGAGACUGUCUCACGGCUUCUUUCGAUCGAAUGCGCUCGCGCUCGCGGAGCGCCUCCGCCUCUUUCGCGCGCGCGGCGUCCGCGAAGACGUCCUCCAGCGUCCGCUUCUUUUCCUCCGUCUUCGAGGGCGUCCCGCGCUGCGCGGACGGGUCGUCCUCGAACCGAGAGGUCUCGUUCGGGUCCUCCCACACGUCCGGGUCGCGCUUCUUCGCCGGCGCCGCGUUCGCGGUCGGCUUCGGCUUGUUCCCGACCGACAGGUUGAACGGUCGCACCUCGGUCGCGAGACCCUUUCGACCCGUCGCUUUCGACCCCGGAUGCUUCGGCGGCUUGGCGACUUUGCGACCGAACGCGACGUCCUUCGCCUUCUUCGCGGCGGCGGCGCGUCUCUCCUCCGCCAUCUUCUCCGCGCCCGCGCGCGUCGCGUCAUCCUCCUGUCUCGCGCGCUCCGCGGCCGCGCGCGCGGCGGCGGCGGCCUCGUGUCGCUCCGCGCGUCUCGACGCGAGCGUGGAGGACGUUCGAACCGCCGUCGGCGGAGGCGGAGGCGGGCCGUUCGGGUCGAGCGCGUACGUCGCCGUCGACGUCAGCGUCGCCGCGGGCUUCGUCGCCGCCGCCUCCUGCUCCACCUUCUCUUUCGUCGUCGGUCGCGUCGGUCGCGUCGGUCGCGUCGGUCGCGUCUUCUCCGCGGUGAGCGGCGGCUCCGCCUUUUUCUUCGCGACGUCGGACUUCUUCGACGCCGCCCUCGGCGCGGCAAGGAACGAGCUCGUCGGCUUCGCGGCCGCGGGGUUUUCGCCGGGCCCAACGCGCGACCCGGGGUUCGAAGAAGCGGGGUACGGCACCGGCGCGCCGGACGACGCCUUCGUCAUCUGCUCCGGGAGCUUCUUCACGCGCGGGUCCACCUUGUGCCGGCGCGCGGCGCCGUGUCUCGCGGACCACCCCGCGCCGCGCGGGAGCGUUCGCAUGAUCUUCACCGCCUCCUGAUGCACCGCCGUCUUCGACGCGAAUAUCCUCGUCGCGAUCUCCGCCUGAAUCGCAGUCUUGAACCCGUAAAUGUCGAGUUCGACGUCCAUGGGGUCCUGCGUCGCGGCGGCGGCGUCGUUUCGAAUCCCCGCCGCCGCGUUCGCGAUCUCUUCGUAAAACUCCGGCGUCCUCGGCUUGGGCUGCGCGCCGGCGACCGUACUCCCGCCGCGCCCGUCGCCCUUGGCCGACUCCGCGGCUCUCCGUAACUCCGCGUAAUCGAUAUGCCCGCCGAGGAGCUCCUCCACCUUCUCGCGCGCCUCGCGCUUCCGCGCGACGUGCGCCUUCACCUGCGCGUUCAUCACCGCGCUCCACAGCGGCUGCCCGCCGACCUGGACGCCGCGCACCGGGUCCAACGCGCCGAGCGCCUCUCUGGCGCGCGGCUGCAGCGACACGCGAUUGGUCCCCGGCGCCGACGUGGCGUCCACGUCACCGGGAUAAUACGAUUUCUUCGCGGGCGAGCUCGGUGCCGCGCGAGCGACCGCGGGCAUCGGCGGCAGCGCGGACGCGGCGGCGCGCGACGGCGACGGCGCCGUCGACGGCCGCCGCUCCCUCGACGACGUCCGCGGCGUCGGCGUCGGCACCGCGACCGUCGCCAUCAGCCUCGGGGCUUCGAACGAGACGUCGUGCGCGUUCGCGUUCGCGUUCGCGUUCGCGUUUCCCUCCUGGGCGCCGUCUUCUUCCGCCUCGGCGCCGUCCGCGAACAGCGACGGCUCGGGAGAGAGCUCCGGGACGAUCGACGGCGGGACGUCGUCGGGGGACAACGCCGGCGGCGCGUCGCCGUCGCCGGCGCCCCCGGCGCCGCCGGUGAACGCCUCGAAGUUGCUCUUCAACUCCCUGAGCUCGCUCAGCAUCGCGGGCACGGCGGCGGCAGCCUCCGCGGCGACGCCGAGCGACGCGCGGAGGGUCCCGUAGCUCACGUUGGACGCGGGCCCGGGCCGCGCCGCCGCCGCCGCCGCCGCCGCCGCGUCGUCGACUUUUUGAAACGCAAACUCCGUCGACGGCACCGCGUCUUCGACCGUCCCCUCCUCCUCCUUCGCCUCCGCCUCCGCCUGCGCGUCGAUCUUCCCCGCGAUCGGCGAUAUCUGCGUCGGCGAGUCGUCCGCGGCGGCGUUCGAAGACGGCGACGCGUCCGACGCCGGGGAGUGAUGAAACACGUGCCGCGCGACGACGGCUUCGCGCGCGGAAUCGUCGCGCCCCGUCGGGUCGGGACGCGGCGUCGUCUUCGCCGCGCUCGCCGCCUCGGGCCAGUCCGCGACCGGCGUCCGCGGCGGCGCGCCGCCAGGGGUCGGGGUCGUCGCCGUGGAAGCGCCGCCGCCGCCGCCGCCGCCGCCGUAUAUCAUCUUCAGGACGCCCUUGAGGUACUCCUGCGCUUCGUCGUCGUGCGCGUCCGCGCCGAGGGACGCCAUCGCCAACGCUUCGGUCGGGCGCGCGAGAUCCGCCAGCGGCGUCGCCGGCGUCGGCGCCGCGCCGCUUCCUCCUCCUUUCCCUUUCCCCGCCGGGGUCGGGGUCGCGACGCCGCGCUUCCGCCUCGCGUCGUCCACGACCAAGGACGCGCGCAAGCCUCGCUCCGCGUCGUUCAGCGCCUCGCGGACGCUCUGCGUCAACGCGUCCGUCACGGCCACCGUCUUCGCCGCGCCGUCCUCGUCCUUCUCCUCGUCCCUGUCCCUCGCCGCGAACUUCGCCAUGACGUUCGUCACGACCGGCGGCGUCUUCAUCUCCAUUCGCCGCGUCGCCUUCCCGGCCGCGGCGACGGCGUCGAACGGCGACGCGUCGUCGUCCCACGCCGCGUCGUCGUCCGCGUCGUCGAGAAGAUGCGCGGGCGUCUCCGGGACGACCGAAGGGUUCGUCAGCUCCAUGACGUAUCGCCGCCGCUCCGCCCUGAGCUUCGGCGCGGCGAACGACAUCGCGUUCGUCCUCUUCGGCGUCCGCGCGUGGUGCGUGUCUCUCCGCGCGCGUCGCCGUCUGGACGCGCGCCCGAGCGACGACAAUUUUGAAUCCAAGAAGCACAUCGCGAGAUUUUCAAACCACUGUCCCCGAUCGAGCCCGCCGAUCAAUUUGACCCCGGGCGCCGGAGGCGCUGAUCGAUACCUCAAGGCUCGAGCGCGCGCGCCGAGCUGGCGCGCGAUCGGCCAACAAACUUUUCCCGGUCGCGUCGCCCUCGCGCGCGGUCAGAUCGAGACGCCCGCGGCACACGCAGCGCGAGCGCGCGCGUCGCCGGCGGGUUCGCGAGAUAGCGGCGUCGACGUCGCAGUAGGUUAGGCGCGUAGCGCGUUUCGAAGAAGCUUUUGGACUGACCUUCCCGUCGCGCGCUUCCGUCUCGUCGUCGCGCCCGAGGGAAUCGUCGCGGACGAUACGUUCUUCUGAGAUCGAGAGAGACCUUCGUUCCAUUCACUCGCCACUCGCGGCUGUCGCCCCCCGGGAAGCGCUGAUACGUCACCCACGCGCGCGUCGUCGUGAAACACGCGCGACGCGUUAGGCAGAGCUCAGUCGCGGCGUCCGUACAUCGUUCACUCCGUCGCGUGGAUUUAGGGCUCUCUCGUGGGAAAUUAAUUCCCGCGCGAAGGAGGAGGACCGGCGGAUCUCGCUCGGAUCGGACCCCGCCUCGACCGACGCCGGUCGAGCGCGUCCGUCGUCGGCGUCGUCGUCCGUCGCGCGUCUCGCGCGAACGGCGUGGACGCGCGUCGACGCGAUCGACGCGAUCGGCGGCGUCAUGGACGCGGAGGAGACGGCGCGCGACGACGACGUCGCCGAGCCGGAAGCGACGACGCCGGCGUCCGUCCGCGAGCGCGAGGAUGAGCCCUCCGCCGCGGACGAGGCGGAGGCGGCGAUCGACGACGACGACGACGACGACGACCGCGCGCGCGCGUCCUCGCCGCUCGCGGACGUCGAGAUGGACGACGCCGGGCCGUCCGGCGACGGCCCCGAGGACGACGACGAGCCUCAGGAGGAGGAGGAUCUGGACGACAUCGACGGCGACACCGCGGUGCGCGACGCGCGACGCCGCGAGCCGCCGCGCCCUUCGCCCUUCGCGCCCUUCGCGUCCUUCGAGCGAGAAAAAAAAACCGACCCGAGCGAUCGUCGUCGGCGGCGUCCGUCCGCCCCGCCCCGCGACGCUGGAACUGACGACGAACCCGAACCCGAACCCGAACCCGCGCCCGCCGCCGUCGACCCCUCCCGCCUGCAGAGCGAAUCCUCGGAAGACGACGAGGCUGAUCGCGCCGAGGACGCGAUGGAAGAAGACGAGGGAGAGGAUGACGACGAAGAAUUAGAAGACGACGCCGAAGAUAUCGCAGACGCGCCUCCCGAGCCGACGGGGCGGGCGAACGUAGAAGAAGACCCCAAAGUAGAGACGCCGAGCGCGACGACGAUUAGCGACGCCGCGAACGAGGACGUGGACGCGGAAGACAUACUCGCGGAGAUUUCCCUCGCCGGACGCCAGGAACUAGACGCAUGCGCAAAGUACGUACCAACCUCGUAGACCCAGGACGCCGACUCGGACGGCGAGAGAGCCCGUCCGCCGAUUGAUUUUGAACUACACCUCUUUCGGAUGUUGAUUAUUUAUUGGAACCUCCGCGUUCGACGUAUCUCCGUACCGCAAGUGUUAUAGUACUUGUGUCUACACGCAUCAUAACGAACGAAACAGUGGACGUUGUCUGGUAGAACGAAAUCGAGAAUCGAAAGAACGCAGCCUCUCGUCAAGUCAACUCAAUGGAUCGUCACAAGUCACGUCAGUCAGAAAGGACCCCGCGGCUCACGUCACGAACGCGUUCAAUCUUAAAGUCGAACUCAAAAAACACCAGCCGUGGAUCAGAGCGCGCGCGAUGCCGCGAUACGCGGCGUCGCGCUGCAGCCAUCCACGAACGGCGUCGGCGAGGGAGGCGGCGGAUCGAUGGCCGCCGCGGCGGCCGCGGGGAAACGAGCGCAUCCAGAGAAAGAAAAAUACAAGCGACGCCGACGCCGUCGCGCCGCGGAGACGCCGCGCGGUCGUUCACACUCCGGGAAGAGCGAUCGCGCGCGGCGCCGGCCGCUCACGCCGCGGCGCGUCCGCGCCGGCGAGAGGCCGCGCGGACGGCGGCGUCGACAGAAGACGAGAGGGACAGACGGAAGAACUCGGCGUUCAAUAACUUCGAUUUCGAUCUCAGAUGCCUACGGACAACGUCCACCGAUCGUGAUGCGCCGCCGCCGUGGAUUUCCGUUCCGUUCCGUUCCGUUCCGUUCCCGGACUCGUUCCUUUCGCGCCCCUCUCUCACCCCUAUCGACGCCGCGCGCUGACCGCGCCGCGCCCGCCCGAACCCCUCCCCCUCUCCCGCAGGUCCUUGCUCGCGAGCGGCUCGAAGGACGUCUCCGACGACGUCGCCGCGGCGUUCGCGACGAAGCACGAUCUGAAACCGCACGAGAUCAAAGUCGCGGUGUCGCACUUGUACGACGCGCACGCGGAGAAAAUCGCGGUCGCGGCCGCGGCGGCGGCGAGCGCGUCCCCGGUCAGCGCGGCGGCGCCGAUCGUGCUGGACGCGUCUCCGGCGAAGCCCGCGGCGGCGAAGAAAAAUCCCGCCGCGACGGCGCACGGGGGACUCCCCGGGAAGCCGCUCGCGGCCGCGUCGUCCCCGUCCGCGAAACCCGCGACCGCGACCGUGACGUUCGCGACGAAGACCGGGAUCAGCGCCGAGGUCAGGGUCGACCUCGUCUGCGGCCCGGCUAGGGGCACGCUGGUCCUCCCGAAGGGGUACAAGCAGAAGCAGGAGUACGUCGUGUAUCCGGACGGACGGAAGAUAUCGCCCGCGGCGUUUGAACGCGACGGCGGGAAGGAAAAGUCCAAGAGCUGGAAGAAUUCUUGCAUCGUGGUCACGAGCGAUGCGUUUAACGGGAAGACCUUCAAGCGCUGGGUCGAUGCCACGGGGUACCACCCGGUCGGGACGGAGAUCGAAGGCGCCGCCGCGCCCGCGGACGAGAAGAAGAAAAAGUCGAAAAAAUCGUCCAAGGAAAAGUCCAAGAAAGCGGAAGAGGAGGACGAGGAAGAGGUCGAGAAGUCCGUGUUCGAGAGGAACCUCGAGCCGCUCUUGGACGACGCCGGGGGGAUCAAGGCGAUCGACAUGACCGGUCGGUUCGUGUGGCUGAUGCGAAACGCGUUGAAAAACGCGGAGCGGUCGCUCGUGAUCUCCGUGAUUCACCGCACGUCGAAACCCAUCAUGCGAUCGUUCGUGGACGGCUCCGACGGCGUCAAGGUGCUGUACGAGUGGUGCGCGGCCGCGAGGGACACGAACAAGUCUUCGCUCGUGUUGAAGAUUUUGAAGACGCUGCGGAAACUCCCGGUCACGUUCGCGGUGCUCGAGAAGACCCCGGAGUUUGCAAAGUUUGUCAACAAGCUUCGCAAAUACGCGCCGCCGGGGAAAGAGUCCGAGGAUCUGACGAUUCAGGUCCAGGAUAACGCGAUGGAGUUGAAAGCGAAGUGGGUGAAGAUGAUCACCGCGGAGAACGCGGCGAAGGAAGCGGCCGCGGCGAAGAAAGCGGCCGCGGCGAAAGCGGCGGCGGCGCCCCCGGUGGUCGGGGUCAAGCGCGACGCCGCCGCCGCCGCCGCCGCCGCCGCGACGGCGGCGGCGGCGAAACGCCCGCGCGUCGACGCGGUCCCGACGCCGCCGCAGCCCGCGGUCGCGAAGCCGACCCUGAACCCUAAGCCCGCGGCGCCCGCGCCGACGAAGAUCGCCGCGCCCGCGCCGUCGUCCACGAAGAUUGGCUCGGUCGCGACGACGACGAAGGUGACGACGACGAAGGUGACGACGACGAAGGUGACGACGACGAUCUCGCGGCCGGCGUCCUCCGCGCUCUCCUUCGGCGGAAUCAACAUCCGCGGCGCCGGGUUCCCUUCCAAACCCUCGGGCGGCGACGCGUCGAAGGCGACGAGCGCCAAGCCCGCGAAGCCGGCGUCGCCGCCGCCGCCGAAGUUCAAGUACAGCAAGCCGACCAGCGCGCGCGCGAAGAAGGGGCUGUCGUGGGCGGCGGACACCGCGCUCGAGGCGGUGCAGUUCUUCUUCAAAGACGACGCCGCCGCGAAGCCGCCGUCGCCGCCGUCGAUCUCCCGCGCGGACGCGGACGGAGGCAAGGACAAGGACGACGACGAGAACGAGACGGAGGACGACGCGGAGGCGAUGAAGAAGGCGCGGCAGAGGCAGGAGCGCGAGCUCGCCGCGGAGGCGCGCGCGGCGAAUCUCACGCGUCAGCGUCGCCUCAACGAGAUGCGCGCGAUCGGGUCGUGGCGCCGGCCCGUUACGUACGUCUAUCCGAAAGACGUCGAGAUCGAGUCCGGGAGCGAGUCCACGGAGGCGAAGCGCAUGGCGCAGCGCGUGUCCAGGGUUCCGGAGACGACGUACGCGAUGGCGUCGUUGAUUCCCGCGUCGCCGGGGGAGGCGCCGGGGGAGGCGCCGCACGACGACGCGAAGACGCCAGCGGUGCCCGUCGUCGCGGCGAAGCAGCAACCGCAGCAGCAGCAGCAGCAGCAGCAGCAGCAGGGGUCGUCGAUGCACCAGAACCAGUACGCGUCCGCGCAGCAGCAGCAGCAGCACCAGCAGCAGGGCGGCCAGGGCGGCGGGUUCGACGCCAACGCGUUGCAGGCGCUCCUCGCGUCGGUGCAGUCAGGGGCGCUGAAGGGCGGCGGCGGCGGCGGCGGCGGCGGCGGCGGCGCGAGCAACGGCGUGGCGCCGCUGCCGCCGCCGCCGAGCGGCGGAAACGGCGGCGGGUACGGCGGCAACCCGCCGAUGCCUCGCGGGCGACCCCCCGCCGCGCAUCAUCAGCAGCAUCAGCAGCAGCGAGACCAGGGCCAGGGCCAGGGUCAGGGCCAGGGCCAAAAGGGUCAGGGCCAGGGCGGCGGGUUCAACGACGGGUGGACGCCGCAGCAGCCCGGCGGCAUCUGCGCGUUUUUCAACACCCCGAAGGGAUGCCGGCACGGCGACGCGUGCAAGUUUAGUCACAUCCCGGGCGCGCCGACGCCCGCGCCGGGGAAUUUUCCGCCGAAGAAUCCGUCGAGUCGGUACGGCGCGUUCCGAUAGCGGGUUCCGAUAGCGGAGGAAGAGGAGGGGGAGACGCGGGGACGGAGGGAGACGAACGAACGAAGAAUUUCUUUUUUCGCGCCCGAGGAACGGAGAGAGGGCUCGAUGGAUCAUCGGAUCGAUCGAUUAGCACACACACUAGUAGCGCUCGCGACUUGGGGUUGAUAGUGACUUAGACGACCUCGACUACGAACUCGCUUCAGUCGCGCGUGGAUCAGACGCCGCGCCGCGCGCGAGACGUACAGAGCCGAGAAAGCGAGUAUGGGUCAACCAGGUUCAAAGGCGCGAAAGAGUGGUGCGUUGAAAUAGGCACGUUGAAACUAAAAUUUGAAACUAAAAAUUCGUCCACGCGCGCGCGUCGAUUUUCGACUCGUUUGAAACAAACAGAACGUUCGCCGUGUCGUUGUUGGCACGCCACAGCGAUCCGCGCGCGACUGACGACCGCACGCGCGCACGAUGGCGCCCUCCGCGGAGAUGUGGUGCUUCGACGUCGACGCAAAGUUCGAGCGAAACGGCGUCACGAGCUCGAACACCCUCAAGUGCGUCUCCCGCCCGUUCCGUCCCUCGGACGAUGACGCGCGACGGGCGUCCGCCGUCGCCGCGAAUCGUUCGUUUGAAAAUCUCCGCGACGCAUCGCGGCGUCGCCGCGCGUCGCGGCGUCGCUCGUUUCCUUCGCGACGGACGCGCGCGAUUCCGCGCGUAUCGCGCGCGCACGACGUCGUCGCGAGACCUCCCGCCCCCCGCCGCGACAUCCCCCACCCCGGCGCCCGUUCGUCCGCCGCGUCGAAUCGUUCGCCCGCUGACGAUCGAUCGCGCUUCGUCCUCCUCAACGUUCUUCCUCCUCCGUCGCAGGCACGUCGAGCUCCGCCUCGCGGACUCGGACAAAGAGAACGCGCCGACGUCCGGGAACCACACGCUGACGCAUCUCGCGGCGUGCGCGAAGAAGAAGUACGUCCUUCGCUUCGGCGGCGACAAGGCGGGGUCGGACAUGCACCUGUCGCACGUCAAAGCCAUCUUCGGAAAAUUCGUCCGAGAGGGCAAGCUGACCAUCGAAGACAAGUCGAACGUCAAGGUUCUCGUCAAAGCCUCCCCGGCGGAGUGCUCGAGGCUCAUGAAGACGCUGACGACGCUCAAGGGCGCGUCGCCGUCGUCGCAGCACGCCUACCUCGCGUCGCUGACGCCGUGCCCGAAGUGCGCGUCGAAGCUCUCGGCGACGAAGGAAAAGUUGGAGGAGCGCGCGCGUAAGACGGCGGCCGCCGAGCUCGAGCGCGCGGAGGCGGAGCUCGCGAAGAAGCGCAAGCGCGAGGAGACGGAGCGCGAGCGCGAGGAGCAAAAGUCGCGCAAGGUGUCGGACGAUCUCAGGCGCGCGGAGGAGAUGCGCGCGGCGAAGGAAGCGGCGCGGGCGGACGUCGAGGCGACGACGCGAGCCGUCGCGUCGGAGACCGCCGCCGCGCGUUUGGAGAGGGAUAAGCUCCGCGACGCGAAGGAGGAGGUCAGCGAGCAGCGCCGAUUGCUCGCGGCGGAGAAGAGCGCGCUCGAGAGCGAGCAGCGCGAGGUGGAGGCGAUGCGAGGGAAGAUCGCGAGCGAGCGUCGAACGGCGGAGACGGAGCGCGAAAAGUUGGACGCGCAGCUGGACGCGGCCAAGGCGACCGCGGCGUCGCUGGAGACGGCGCGGAGGGCGGUGGAGAAGGAGAACGCCGCGCUGGCGAAGGAGCGCGAACGCCGGGAGCUCGAGACGGUGAAGCUCGAGGAGCAGAGGAAGGCGCUCGAGGCGAAGCGCGAGGCGUGGGAGACGGCGAAACGGCACAAGGAGGACGACGCGCGGCUUAAGGCUGAGCUCGCGGAGCGCAGGAGAGCGGAGGCCGCGGCGAGGAAGGAAGAGGCGGCGAAGAGGAAGGAAGAGGUCGCGGCGAAGACGAGGGAGAGAGAGGACGCGAUUCGGGAGACGCAGGCGAGGUGGAAGGCGGAAGUGAAGAGCAGGAAGGCGACGGAUCGCGCGUCGGCGCCGCAGAGGAAGCCGUCCGGCGACGGCGACGGCGACGGCGACGCCGCGGAGUGCGACGCGAAGAACUUCUACGGCGCGGGCGGCGCGUCGACGACGGCGGCGGCUGCGAGACCGAAAACGAAACCGGCGGCGAAGUCGAAGCCCACCAUCGUGGUCGACGACGACGACGACGACGACGACGACGACAUGGACGUGGACGCGGACGCCGGCAAAGAGAACGCGAAGCAGAACGCGAACGCGACCGCGAACGACGACGACGCGAACGACGACGACGACGACAUCUUCGCCGCGGAGGAGAAACGGCGGCGCGAGAUGCUCGAACGCGCGCGCGCCGCGGAGCUCGCGCGUCAAGAAGCCGAACGCGCGGCGGAAAAACGCCGCGCCAAAGAACAAGCCGUCCUCGAAGCGCGCCGAGCCAAGACGAAGAAGGCGCAGAAAGAGAUGAUGGAGGAGCUGCGUCGGAAGCAAGAGGAGGAGCGCGCGCAGAGGGAGCACAUGGCGAGGAAGACGGCGGCGGAGAUAAAGAUUCGGCAAAAGUCCAAGGGCGUCACUCUGGCGACGGCGACGGAGGAGAUCUACCAGAAACACCUCGAAGCGUUCGACGCGAUGCGUUCGAUGCCGGAGGGGUCCAUCCGCGAGCGCGACGUCCCGUGGCCGAACCCGAUGAACCUGGUGUUCUUGACCCCGAAGGACGACGCGAACGCGAAGAAGAAGAAGAUCUUGAGGGCGAUCGGCCGGUGGCAUCCGGAUAAGUUCACCGCCGCGUACGGCUCGCGGCUGGGAGAGGACGAGAGAGAGGCGAUCAUGGCGCGCGUGAGGUCGGUCAGCGCGUCGAUCAUCGAGCUCAGGCAGGUGUUCAACUGAAUGAGCGGCCGACAGAGCGUAGGGAGGGGUGUAGGGAGGGUGGGGGGGUGGGUGAUGAUGAUGAUGAUGAUGAUGAGAUGAUUCACGAGGCGUUUCGUUCACGAGUCGACAUUUUGCUGACAUUUUGAAGCAUACAGUAGGUGACUGGAUCCACGACAACGAUCGCCGCAGUCGUCCUCGCGCGCACCGCACGCACGCGCCACGACGAUGACGUCCCUCGCGAUCCCGAGCUCGCGCGUCCUGCCGCGCGCGUCCGCGCGCGGUCGCGCGCCGCGACCGCGCGCGUCGUCGCGUCGCGUCGCGACCGCGACCGCGCGCGCGCGAUCGCGCGUCGACGACGACGACGACGCUGACGCGGACGAUCAUCGUCUUCGCGCGUCGUCCGGGGCCCUCCCGGCCCUCGGCCGCCGCGAGGCGAUCGCGACGCCGCUCGCCGCGGCCGCGGCGCUCGCGGCGACGGCGCUAACGUCGCCCCCCUCCGCGCGCGCGGAGUACGGCGAGACGACGUACAUGGGCGCGAUCGCGGACAAGGACUACGGCAAGAAGGACGUCAUCUACGAAGACUUCACGCUGACGCCGUCGGGGUUGCAGUACAAGGACAUGAAGCCCGGCGCGGCGGACGGCGCGGUCGUGAAGAAGGGUGCGAACCAGACCGUGGUGAUCGACUGGGACGGGUACACGAUCGGGUACUACGGCCGUCCGUUCGAGGCGAGGAAUAAGAGCAAAGGCGGCGCGUUCACCGGCGAAGAGAAGGAUUUCGUUCGGUUCAAACCGGGCGACCCCUCGGUCAUCGCCGCGUUCAACGAGGCGAUCGUGGGCAUGACCGUGGGCUCGAUACGGCGGAUCGUCGUCCCGCCGAACACGCCGACGCGCGCGCUGGGGUAUCCGGACGGGAAGGCGUGGAGGUCGAUGAAGCCGCAGCCGUCGUCGUUUUCGGGCGAGAGAGCGUUGGGGUUCGUGCUGGAGAACCAAGGGAUGAUCGACAAGACGCUGCUGUUCGACAUCGAGCUGAUCAAGAUCAUAGAGUGACGACCGCCAGCCGCGCGAUGGGGAUGAUAUGAUAUCGUAUGAUGACUCGCGGACGCGUCGUCGGUUGUAUUCUAUCCCUUUAGACCCGGUGUGUAGUUAACUACCUUCGUACACAUAUUUCCGGCCAAUUCUGACUAAAUGCUCAUACGGGAUCAUUUUAUCGGCGGUGUGUAGUUCACUACACGAAAAUGCUCGGGUCUAAAGGGACACGUCAUAUCGCGUCGCCGCCCGCGACUGGCCGUAUCGACUCGGGUCAGCCGCCGCCGCCCGCUUCCAAGGCUCUCAGCGGAUCGCACGGGUAGUUCGCGUCGCUGCAGCAAACGCGCUCGCCCGCGGCGACGCGUCCGACGCCGUCCUCCCCUUCCCCUUCCCCUUCCCCGCCGGCGACGCUCUCGCCGCUCCCGAGACACCGCAACAGCUCCACCUCGUAUCGCAACGCGCUGCCCGGAGGUAUCCUCCCUCCCGGCGCCUUCAUCGCCUGGGUGGAGUUCAAAGGCAUCGGUGGUUGGAGUUGAAAGGCGCCGAGGGCGGGGAUUGAACGCGAGGGACCCUGGGCGGAGAGAGACGCCGGCAAAAGUCCUUAAGAAACAGCGUUCACCGCGCCGACGAGGUCGUAUGGGGACCAGUGUAUAGAAC